rnacentral:rRNA from 1 species
UUCUGGCUCAGAACGAACGCUGGCGGCGUGGAUAAGACAUGCAAGUCGGACGCUAGAUUGUGUGUAGCAAUACUCGCAGUCUGGAGUGGCGUAAGGGUGCGUAACACGUGGGUAAUUUGCCUGGAAGCCCGGGAUAACUCCGAGAAAUCGGAGCUAAUACCGGAUGCGAUCAGGGGCUGGCAUCAGCUCCUGCUCAAAGUCGGGGACCGCAAGGCCUGACACUACCAGAUAAGCCCGCGGCCUAUCAGCUAGUUGGCGGGGUAACGGCCCACCAAGGCUAAGACGGGUAGCUGGUCUGAGAGGACGACCAGCCACACUGGAACUGAGACACGGUCCAGACACCUACGGGUGGCAGCAGUCGAGAAUUUUUCACAAUGGGGGAAACCCUGAUGGAGCGACGCCGCGUGGGGGAUGAAUGGCUUCGGCCCGU